rfam:Collimonas arenae strain Cal35, complete genome.
CCUCCCGCUUCCCUCCCUGAGCGGGGCCGUAUCGCUUUUGGUGAUAAGGCAUUGUGCCCUGGAGAUAUUCCCCUUUCUCCAGGGCUUUUUUAU